GGAGGUAGUGACAAUAAAUCACAAUGCGGGACUUUUAGUUUUGCAAUUGGAUUGAGAACAAUGUAAAAGAGUUAUCGAUAAACAAUUGGAGGGCAAGUCUGGUGCCAGCAGCCGCGGUAAUUCCAGCUCCAAUAGCGUAUAUUAACGUUGUUGCAGUUAAAAAGCUCGUAGUUGAAGUGUGGGGUGAAAAGUUGGUUGUUUCUUUGAAAUGGCUGUCUGCUCACCCCCUCUCCAAUGUGUUAUUAUGGGUAUUAAUUUACUUGUAGUAGCUAUUGGUCAUUUACUGUGAGAAAAUUAGAGUGUUCAAAGCAGGCAUUUGCUUGAAUAUAUUAGCAUGGAAUAAUAGUAAAAGGCUUUUGUGGUCGAUUUAAUUGGUUUGUUCAUAAAAGCAAGAUUAAUAGGGACAGUUGGGGGUAUUCAUAUUCAAUAGUUAGAGGUGAAAUUCUCGGAUUUAUGGAAGAUGAACAAGUGCGAAAGC
rnacentral:rRNA from 1 species